rnacentral:rRNA from 1 species
UACGUAGGGUGCAAGCGUUGUCCGGAAUUAUUGGGCGUAAAGAGCUCGUAGGCGGCUUGUCGCGUCGGCUGUGAAAACCUGGGGCUCAACCCCGGGCCUGCAGCCGAUACGGGCAAGCUAGGAAUUCGGUAGGGGAGACUGGAAUUCCUGGAUGUAGCGGUGGAAAUGACGCAGAUAUCAGGAGGAACACCGGUGGCGAAGGCGGGUCUCUGGGCCGAAAUUGACGCUGAGGAGCGAAAGCGUGGGGAGCAAACAGG